UACGUAGGGUGCAAGCGUUGUCCGGAAUUAUUGGGCGUAAAGCGCUCGCAGGUGGUUCGUCGCGUCGUGCGUGAAAGACCCCGGCUCAACUGGGGAGGGUCGUGCGAUACGGGCGGACUGGAGGCCAGUAGGGGGAUGCGGAAUUCCGGGUGUAGUGGUGGAAUGCGUAGAGAUCCGGAGGAACACCAGCGGCGAAGGCGGCAUCCUGGACUGGUCCUGACACUCAGGAGCGAAAGCGUGGGGAGCGAGUCCGG
rnacentral:rRNA from 1 species